CAUGUUCCAUCAAAUGCUGAUGGAUGUGUUUGUUUGUUUGAAGGAUUGAGGCAGAUGAAGCAAAAAUGACUGCAAGGAAGCAUAUGCAGAAAGCAAAAGCAGCAAUUCAAAAGCUUGUGAUAACACUUGAAAAGAAAGACCAUACUCGCUGGAGAUGAUUUUCAAUACCCUCAAGUCUGGUCCUAGGAAAAUGCAGGUGGUAUGCAGUACGUCAACUGCGAGUAGUAUCGAAUGGCGCAACACCUCAGCAAGAAUGGUCAAAUGUGUUUGUUGAGUGGAUGCUUCACAUGUCGUGCUUUGUAGAGAUGUACUAGUUCUAUGCUCAAGUAAGAUGAAUUCAGAUUUUACCAUUGAUUAAUAGCAUUCAUAUUCUGGGUACUCCUUUGGUUAUGAUUCUACCAGGGGAACAUAAGAAAGCAGAUGAAGAUUAAGAGGAACAGUAUGUUCUCAUGCAUUAUUUGUGAAUUGUGAUUAUUGUUACCUGACCACAGAAUAAUAAGAGUUCCUGUUCUGCUAGUUUUUCA